rnacentral:rRNA from 1 species
GACGAACGCUGGCGGCGUGCUUAACACAUGCAAGUCGAACGCUGAAGACCUGGCUUUUGUUGGGUUGGAUGAGUGGCGAACGGGUGAGUAACACGUGAGUAACCUGCCCUCUUCUUUGGGAUAACGCCCGGAAACGGGUGCUAAUACUGGAUAUUCACUGGCCUUCGCAUGGGGGUCGGUGGAAAGGUUUGUUCUGGUGGGGGAUGGGCUCGCGGCCUAUCAGCUUGUUGGUGGGGUGAUGGCCUACCAAGGCUUUGACGGGUAGCCGGCCUGAGAGGGUGACCGGUCACAUUGGGACUGAGAUACGGCCCAGACUCCUACGGGAGGCAGCAGUGGGGAAUAUUGCACAAUGGGCGAAAGCCUGAUGCAGCGACGCCGCGUGAGGGAUGGAGGCCUUCGGGUUGUAAACCUCUUUCGCUCAUGGUCAAGCCGCAACUGUGGGUUGUGGUGAGGGUAGUGGGUAAAGAAGCGCCGGCUAACUACGUG